AUUGAACGCUGGCGGCAGGCCUAACACAUGCAAGUCGAACGAGUGGCGGACGGGUGAGUAAUGUCUGGGAAACUGCCUGAUGGAGGGGGAUAACUACUGGAAACGGUAGCUAAUACCGCAUACCAUCAGAUGUGCCCAGAUGGGAUUAGCUUGUUGGUGGGGUAACGGCUCACCACGGCGACGAUCCCUAGCUGGUCUGAGAGGAUGACCAGCCACACUGGAACGGAGACACGGUCCAGACUCCUACGGGAGGAAGCAGGGGGGAAUAUUGGAAAAUGGGGGCAAGGCUGAAGCAGCCAUGCCGGGGGGAUGAAGAAGGCCUUCGGGGUGGAAAGUACUUUCAGCGGGGAGGAGUUACCCGCAGAAGAAGCACCGGCUAACUCCGUGCCAGCAGCCGCGGUAAUUC
rnacentral:rRNA from 1 species